AGAGUUUGAUCCUGGCUCAGAUUGAACGCUGGCGGCAGGCCUAACACAUGCAAGUCGAGCGCGAAAGUUCUUCGGGACGAGUAGAGCGGCGGACGGGUGAGUAACGCGUAGGAAUCUACCUGGUAGUGGGGGACAACUUGGGGAAACCCAAGCUAAUACCGCAUACGCCCCAUGGGGGAAAGUGAGGGACCUUCGGGCCUCACGCUAUCGGAUGAGCCUGCGUAGGAUUAGCUAGUUGGUGAGGUAAAAGCUCACCAAGGCGACGAUCCUUAGCUGGUCUGAGAGGAUGAUCAGCCACACUGGGACUGAGACACGGCCCAGACUCCUACGGGAGGCAGCAGUGGGGAAUAUUGCGCAAUGGGGGCAACCCUGACGCAGCCAUGCCGCGUGUGUGAAGAAGGCCUUAGGGUUGUAAAGCACUUUCAAUUGGGAAGAAAAGUUGGUCGUUAAUAGCGGCCAGCCCUGACAUUACCUUUAGAAGAAGCACCGGCUAACUCCGUGCCAGCAGCCGCGGUAAUACGGAGGGUGCGAGCGUUAAUCGGAAUUACUGGGCGUAAAGCGCGCGUAGGCGGUUUGUUAAGUCAGCUGUGAAAGCCCUGGGCUCAACCUGGGAACUGCAGUUGAUACUGGGCCGACUAGAGUAUGAAAGAGGGAGGUAGAAUUCCAUGUGUAGCGGUGAAAUGCGUAGAUAUAUGGAGGAAUACCAGUGGCGAAGGCGGCUCCUGGUUCAUACUGACGCUGAGGUGCGAAAGCGUGGGGAUCAAACAGGAUUAGAUACCUGGUAGUCCACGCCGUAAACGAUGUCUACUAGCCGUUGGGAGACUUGAUUUCUUAGUGGCGCAGCUAACGCAAUAAGUAGACCGCCUGGGGAGUACGGCCGCAAGGUUAAAACUCAAAUGAAUUGACGGGGGCCCGCACAAGCGGUGGAGCAUGUGGUUUAAUUCGAUGCAACGCGAAGAACCUUACCAGGUCUUGACAUCCUGAAAACUUUCUAGAGAUAGAUUGGUGCCUUCGGGAAUUCAGUGACAGGUGCUGCAUGGCUGUCGUCAGCUCGUGUCGUGAGAUGUUGGGUUAAGUCCCGUAACGAGCGCAACCCUUGUCCUUAGUUGCCAGCACAUAAUGGUGGGAACUCUAAGGAGACUGCCGGUGACAAACCGGAGGAAGGUGGGGACGACGUCAAGUCAUCAUGGCCCUUACGACCUGGGCUACACACGUGCUACAAUGGCAAGUACAGAGGGCUGCAAAAGCGCAAGCUGGAGCGAAUCCCACAAAACUUGUCGUAGUCCGGAUUGGAGUCUGCAACUCGACUCCAUGAAGUCGGAAUCGCUAGUAAUCGUGAAUCAGAAUGUCACGGUGAAUACGUUCCCGGGCCUUGUACACACCGCCCGUCACACCAUGGGAGUGGGUUGCAAAAGAAGUGGGUAGACUAACCUUCGGGAGGUCGCUCACCACUUUGUGAUUCAUGACUGGGGUGAAGUCGUAACAAGGUAACC
rnacentral:rRNA from 1 species